rnacentral:rRNA from 1 species
GCUUAACACAUGCAAGUCGAGCGCCCCGCAAGGGGAGCGGCAGACGGGUGAGUAACGCGUGGGAACGUACCCUUUACUACGGAAUAACGCAGGGAAACUUGUGCUAAUACCGUAUGUGCCCUUCGGGGGAAAGAUUUAUCGGUAAGGGAUCGGCCCGCGUUGGAUUAGCUAGUUGGUGGGGUAAAGGCCUACCAAGGCGACGAUCCAUAGCUGGUCUGAGAGGAUGAUCAGCCACAUUGGGACUGAGACACGGCCCAAACUCCUACGGGAGGCAGCAGUGGGGAAUAUUGGACAAUGGGCGCAAGCCUGAUCCAGCCAUGCCGCGUGAGUGAUGAAGGCCCUAGGGUUGUAAAGCUCUUUCACCGGAGAAGAUAAUGACGGUAUCCGGAGAAGAAGCCCCGGCUAACUUCGUGCCAGCCGCCGCGGUAAUUC